rnacentral:lncRNA from 1 species
AUUUAUUCAUCAGGCAUUUAUGGAGGAUGUCUCCCCAGAGAUGAUGCUGGGGGCACUGGAGCGGGCACAGGGGAACCUCAGGGAGCCCGGGCCCUUUAGCAUCGAGACGCAGCCUCGUAUGGAGGCAGGGCUGGACUCUGCAGGUGGCAGAAGAGGGAGUGCCACUCAGACUCGUCCUGUGGCUCCAGGGCCCACCUGCCCCCCCAACAGGUGGGAAGCCUCCUACUUCCUUCCCCCCUGUAAAUUCUGCUUUAGGGACAGGGUGUCCCCCACCCUUUCCUUUGCGAUACGGUCUCCUCCUUCCUUUGGCCUGAAUUCUCCUCACAGUGGAAAACUCACUCCCCUCCCACCUCCAGCUCAGAGGCAGCCUCCCUCCCACUCCCCCAGAGCCUGGCACCGAGUGAGCGUCAGCCCCUCUGCCCCAGAACUUCUAUAAUGUGGUCCAGACAGAAUCACCAGCUGCCCUUCCAGGAGAGAAACUGCACCUUAUCCCUCAUGAUGAGACCCCAGGACCAGCAGAAUAGGCCACAACCCAUGUGGGUGGAAAUCGGUCCAAACUGGGACAUUUUCUGUUCAGAGAAUGAUCUGAGGGAAGUGAGAAUGUCUUAUAGGGACAUUUGGUUAGACUCACAGAAGCAGGGGUAGGAGGGGUGGAGACAGAAGAGAGUGACUGGGAAGGGCCAGAACGGGAUGAGGGGGCCCCGCUCUGCCUUGGAGGCUGAAUGUCUGGAGUCUGGGGCUGGCUCCCUGAGUGUGGCCAGCUCACCCGUGAUGCCCCCUCAGUGCCAAGGACAGCCCUGGCGUCUGAGCUCCAGAACUGGGGAAGAGUCUGCAGCUUUGAGGUAUGGAAGGAAAGAAUUUGCAUGUGAUUUCUAUUAAAUGGGUUCUGUGCCUUAAAUGGUGAGUGACAACCAUGCAGGGAGCCUGCAAACCCUCCAGGCCUUCUUGCUGUGCUGCUAUCUGAAUGGGGCUUUGCUGAGCUCUCCCACUGGGGGUUUCAUUCAUGGACAUGGGCCCUGCCUGAGAGUGGCAUACUCUCACUGUGCUGAGUUACAGGCCUGGCAGAGGCUCAGAGUGACAGCACCCAUCACUCCAGGUUGGGCAGACUCAGAAGUCACUGCCUUUCCUGCCCAUCUGGCCCCUGAGUCCUGAGGAAGGCCCCACUUAUUUGCAGAGCAUGGAUUAGGCUCCUGCUGUAAAGCCAGGCACCAAUCUGGAGCAGUGUUAGAGGCAGUGAUAUCCCAGAUGGGAGAGGCCCUGACCCCACGAGGUCACCAGCAGGAGGAGACGCAGGCGUCUGGCCAGGUUUCCGGGAGGAAGGCUGAGGCAGGCUCUCGCUGGGGAGUGCAGUGGUCACAGGCAUUACAGAUGUUGUGCACACCCAACAAAGCCACAUUAGAUGAACAAGAGAACCACUUGCCACAGUUCAUAAACCCCUUAUCAGGUGAGCCACAUGGAGAAAACACAAGACUGUCCAUCCAAGUUCCACAGACCAGGGCCUGGGAAAACUUUCUUGCCCUGAAUGAGAGGCAGCUGCCUUCUUAGCUGCCUGGAGACAAGACAUUAGUGGAGACACUCUGUCCUGAGUCAAGUGCUGGGGAUACAUAGGUGGGGGACAGGUAGCCUCAGAGGAUCAGGGCUGGGGGGUGGGCGGAUCAGAAAGACAAGUCUGUUGAGUUGGUCAUCGAUGAGAUGUGUAGUGCCUGCCUUUGGCCUCAGCUGCAGCAGCCCAGGUUCACCAUCCCAGGGCUGGAUGCAGGCACAACCUUAAACCUAUAACUGCAGAGGCAGUGACCUCCUGGGGACAGUGGUGGAGGGGCCAUCUUCUGGAAGCUCUGUCUACAGUCUUUUUUUUUUUUUUUUUUUCCCCAUUUAGCGCUCCUGAGAAUUCUGUGAAUUAUCUAGAUCUCUUUCUGUCUUAGCUAGUAGACAUUCCCAGUUGCCUGCAGCUAAGGACUCUGGCAAAACUUUUACCUGAAGCCCAUGAAAAUUUCAAGCAAUAGAUUGCAUGGUUUUCAGAAGUAACUGGGAAUCUUCUAAGAGGCAGAUUUGGAAGCAGUUGAGAUGCUAGAAGCGGAUUCCUGGGGAGAACCCAUCCCUGCCUACAGCCUGCAGGCACCCUCAAUUCCUUUUCUCUGUGCUCUGUUGCCCAGUGUUAGCGUUGGAAGGGAUGACAAUGAAAUAUACAUCUGACGGACAAAGAUGGAGUGACUGCAGCUCAUGGCUUGUGGCUGAGCAGAAAUAACCCCAGGAAGUCAGGUUGUUUUUGCCUGUCUGUACUGUAAAGGCUGACCAGGCUCAGAAACAGGCAAGCCCUGUCACGGAACUAAAUUUUGUCUAACUGGCUAAUUAGCAAAUCCUUGUAGGCAAAAUUUCCUGCUUGUCUGUGGUUUGCACCCUAGAGGACCUGGAACCAAUCUCUGCACUGGGCUUGUGCAAACCCUACCCUCUGGGUGGGUAGGUCUGGGGCAGGCUCUGUGCUUGUGGGUAGAGGACCGUGUUCUGGGCUUCGAGGGCUAGCUAGUCUGCAGAGGUGAGUGGCUGGGAGGACUGCGCAUGUGCAUUCUCUAGCCCUUGGUGUCACAGGAUUUUCACCUGGGAAGUUUAAUUGGAUCUCUCAGGUUGUCUCUUUCUGUGGGUUUCUGCAUUUUCCCAAUGGUGGGCCGGCCACCUUUGGAAGCUUCAUUUUCCUUUUUGGGUGUAGGGGGAUCUCUGGGUUCUGGGAAGCAUUCGUAGUGUAGGGACCCCCUUAUUAUUAGGUGCUGUGGGUGAUGGUGGCUCCGCAGGGCCCCUGAGUCAAGGAAGCAGCAGCAGCUUGUGUAGCAGAGCUGCCUUUUCUUCAGGCCACUGAGAAAGGUGCUACUAAGAGAUAAGGGGUAAAAACCGAUUUACAAGUUAAUGAGCUCAGGAGAGCCCCCAGGGCCUCUCCUCCAGCAGCUUUGCCUCACUUUGAAUCCCCUCCCUCUGGGUGCCGGCUCCGCACCUGCCCUGCUGGCUUCCCACCCUUCCCAGUCCUUCCAGACCCACUUCUGCUCCGCCUGAGCCCCCUAGAACCCUGAGGGUGGGGACGCUGGGCUGAGGCUGUGCUCCUGGUGGCCUGGCUCUUUCUGUAGUACAGCCAGUGAGCAGGUGGCUCCUUCCUCAGACUCAGAGCUGCUCUGCAAACGGGAUCUCUCUGUAAACCCCUGGGAGAGGUUGGGGGGUGGGAGGGUGGAGAAGACUUUCCCUCCACUUUCUGGGUUCUGGGCUGAGACCCCAUAAGUUUAGUAACAUGUGACCUGUACACAUGGCGGAGAUCCAGGAAAGCCAAGCAGCUCCCCUCACAGGGCCCAAACACCACCUUAAAUGCCAUCUCGGGCACAAGACAAUAGAAGAUGCUGGGUGGGAAGCCAGUUAUGAGAGGGUCUAGACAAAGCCUGGUAAGUCGUUGUACAGGUCAGCAUUGCUGCCUUCUCCACUGAUAAGGGUUUCUAGAGGUUGAGUCACCCCCCUUUUCCUGGGAGGGUGACACCCUUACAAGUAGAGAUUUCCUAUAUAAAUGGGAAUAUCCCUUAUAAAGGGUAACUAGUUGUAUUUCAGAGCUUCUUCCGUGAAAGCUGUUUCUUAAAAAUAAUCAGCUCAAGAUAAUCCCUCUGCCAAAGAGGCACAUUUUGGCUGUCAGAGUCUGCUCCCCUUCAGUGGUUUCCACAGCAGGAGGGGAGGGAGUGAGGCAUUAGAAUCCCUGGGAGCUUUUCCAAAAAUCUCUCUAGAGAGCAUUUCAACAUAAGGAGAAAGGAGACAGAAAGGGCAGCAUACACACUGACAGACACACAGACUCAUACGGAAACACAGACACACACACAGAAAAGCAUAUACAGACACACACAGAGAUACAGACACAGAAACACAGACACAGAUGCACACAUACAGACACACAGAUACACACAUAUAAACAGAUACAGAUGUACGCAGAGACAAAGACAGAUACAUACACACACAUAUAUUUUAUUGGGGAAAGUAAAGCUCCAUGGUCUGAACAUCCCCUCUUUAGCUGAGAAACAUUGGACCAGAUUAGUGGCUCCCAAGCUCCUUGUGGUUUAUAAAAACACCUUGGGCCAGAUAGCUUAAGAAUGCAGAUUCCUGGGCCCCUUGGACCUUCUCAGUUGGACCCAGGGACAGGACCCAGGAAUCUAUAUUUUAAUACGUUUCCUGGGGCAUCUGCAUACCCAGCAUGUUUGGGGGUCCUCAGGCAGGUGGAUCCUGGGUAGACUCCAGCCCCGUGUCCAGGCAAAGGAAUCAGGUGGUUUGGAUUUAGGGGGGUGCUUAGACCCCUUUUUAGGUUGGCUCUCAAGAAUUUAACAGCGGAUGUCCUGCACCCCCUGGCCUGGGAAGGCUGUCUGCCCAAGUUAUUUUCUGCAGCACAAAGUGGGGGACCCAUCUGGAAAUGUGUGCUAUGGUCUCGUAGCUCCAGGGAGAGGAGACGGGGUCAUGGAACACAGCACAUGGUGUAAAGUCCUUCACCCUCUUCUGCCUGGUUGUGAUAACAGAGCCCGCAGACUCUUCCAGAAGACCAGGCCUCACCCCACUGCCCAGGCCACUUCCCUCCAAGUGCUCAGUGCUGCGAGGGCCUCUCUCAGUGUGGAAGAGUUGUUUUGUCCUCCACUAUCAGCCCCUCUCCUCUGAGCAAGUCACCUUCAGAUCUCUUGAGUGUGAAACCUAAGUUGUUGCAACCUGUUCUCUUCCCUGUUUGAGUUGUGGUCCGGCUUUAGCACAUUGACCUGGGAGAGGGGUGUCCACACUGAGGUCCCCGGGAAUGAGAGUGGCCAAGUGGUGCCCUGUUGUGAUCUCUGCCCAACAGAGAGCCAUGGACACGGGAGGCUACUGAGAAGCCUUCCAAAAGACAAGGUUUUCUUGGAUAAACAAAUAUAGUAUUUACAGCUAUGUCCUAGAUAGUGGACCGGGUGGUAAAAGAAAAACAAAGUCCCAGAGAUAAAUUCAAAGUAGAGUGUGUUUCAUUUCACCGAGAACAGAAGCCCCACCCAGGCCGGCCUGGUCCUCUGGGGCUGGUGCUCUGCUGUUAAACUGAAAUGUCUUUUUGGAACAUCGACACUGCACAAGACUGUGAUGACCAUGAUGGAGCAUGAGAGAGAUAGGACUGCUCUGCAGUCAGGUCUCAACUCAGACAAAUGCAAACACCAGACCUGCCCCUCCCUGGCUGAUGCAAGAGGCCAAUGCUUCCUGCCGACUUGGGCAGUAGCUGGGCCUGCCAGCCCUCAUUCUCCAUGAGGUUGGUUAAGAUACCCGAUCAUAAGUGGCCCCCACUCUCUGACAACAUCCAAUCCAAGCCCCAUUUCCUACAGCCCUUCCCCAAGCAGCCAGUAUAGCCCAGUCCUGCAAGUGCAUUCUGACUCUCUGCACUGGGAUGCUGUGGGUUCUCCCUUCCUCUCUGCAAAGGGGCAUAAAUUCAACGUGCCCAGCUCUGAGGGCCUCCUGGCCCUUAGGCUGGAAAGCACUGACAUUGAUAUCUGAUAUAUUGGCACAGCAAAGGCAUCUCAUAACACAGAGAAUACAGGGUGAGGAUGAAACUAUUAACAGUCGGAGGUAGGAGCUUGGCACCUCCACAGAGUCCUCCCAGUCACUCCUUCAAGGCCCCAGAGUGUGCCUUGGGUGUGCUCAGGUGUAAAUCUUCACUCUCUGGGCACUGUGGCUUUCCUACCAGAGACAGCUGGACACCUACAAGUCCAGAGCUCAUAAAAAAUGUCAGGGCACAGACUCUCCACUAGCCGUGGGUUGAUUUGGCCCCAUAAGCCCAGAAAGUGCUGCUUGAAUCUCCAGCCUCACAAAGUCCCUCCUGAGAACCUUGUGGGCGGGACUCAAGGCUUCACUUUCCUUGGUUGGCCUCUUGUUUCAAGAGGGACAGGCUGCAGGGAGAUAUGGCCAAGAUGGUAGAGAAAUACUGGCUAUAGGGAGUCCUUGGAGUUUCUGGAGCCGGGGAUGCUAUGCAGAAGGCGUGUGGCUAUAGUGCCGAGAGCCAAGUACCUGGGCGGGGAGACCUGUUAAAACCAGAGCAGAGCCUGGAUUUCCUGUUAUGGCUCAGCAGUAGCAAACCUGGUUAGGUUUUGGGUUCCAUCCAUGGCCCUGCUCAGUGGGUUAAGGAUCCUGCAUUGCUGUGAACUGCGUGUGGUGUUAAGUCACUGAUGCAGCUUGGAUCUGGCAUUGCCAUGGCUGUGGUGCAGGCUGGCAGCUGCAGCUCUGAUUCACCCCCAGCCUGGGAAUCUCCAUAUGCCUUGG